AGUAGUUAAUCAUGGCUGCUUAUGGAGCUCUGGUUUCUCUUAUGCAUAUCAUCAAUACCCUCGAGAAACAUCCUUCCCCUCCCAUUUCUAUCGACGAAACACAAGUUCAAUCCCUCACUCAAAACAUUACCUUCUUGCAGGAUUUUCUUGAUGGCUAUAUUUCCCCUUUUGCUGAGAGCCACGAAGCUGAUCCAUUGGAGCGUCGCAUUGCUGAUGCAGUUUACGCGGCUGAGGAUGUUAUCGAAUCCCAUAUUGUCGAUCAAAUUCACAAUGGAUGCACAAUCGUUGAAGAUCAUGACUUCUAUCAAAAUCUUCAGAAAGUGAUAGAAGAAAUGGAUCUGAUCAACAAAGAGGUGAUGAGCAUUGCAGUUGAAGCUCAGACCAAGCAGAAGCCCGUUGCUGCCUUGUCGGCGUCUUCUCCCACUGUGAAAGAAAACGUCAUCGUGGGCUCUAAAGAAGUGUUUUUUGAAGUUCUAGAUACGCUCGCUGGAAAUCAACUCAACCUCCGAAUCAUCCCCAUCACGGGGAAGGGUGGCAUUGUGAAGCAGCUGUGGCGUCAGCGAAAAAGAUAGUAGAAGAACAUGUGGAUCUUUAUGGAGAGCAAUUAGACCUUUGUGUUCGUAAGUACUAGAAGAUGCCGAAAACUGUCAAGACCGAGUGUUGUUGUUUGCUCUCACUGUGGUCUAGUCGAAAAUGGGCUUGCUUACUUCGACUCGAUGGAGAGCACUACACGUGCGUGGUGAGCAUGCCAUGUGAACCCGAGGAGAACGCAUAGUCUGCUUUGCUCAGCGGCUGCAGAACCGACAGGGACAAAGAGUUGGGGUCGAGGGUGUCUAAGAAGCUCUCAGAGCUUGCGGAGGCGAAGCCUGGGGCAUAUGUCCUGCUGUCAAAUAGCAAUGCCUUGGGAGGGAGAUGGGUCGAUGCGAUGAAGACGAGAGAUGUGAUGAGCCGGAAGGGGAUCAAGAAGAGUGGGGGUUGCAGUUGGUUGGAGCUGAGAAACAGAGUGUAUCUGUUUUAUUCAUAGGAUGAAACUCAUGAUAAAUGGAUUUUGCAGAUUUUGAAUAUUGAAAAAGAAUCAUAUUUUUGAAUAUCCCUUUUGUGAUAUACAUAUAUUUAGAGAAGAAA